UUACUUAUAAGAGUAAAAAGCAUAUUAACAUACUAUACUAGUAUGCUAGCCAUACGAAAGGGAAAAUAAGUGCUUCUUAAGUUUGGACUUGAAAGUCUCUACAGAAUCGAACUGUUUUGUUAAUGCAGGGAGCUCAUUCCACAAAGCA